GAUGAAGACGUAGCGAAAUGCGAUACGUAAUGUGAAUUGCAGAAUUCAGUGAAUCAUCGAGUCUUUGAACGCACAUUGCGCCCCCUGGUAUUCCGGGGGGCAUGCCUGUCCGAGCGUCAUUGCUGCCCUCAAGCACGGCUUGUGUGUUGGGCCUCCGUCCUCCUCCCGGGGGACGGGCCCGAAAGGCAGCGGCGGCACCGCGUCCGGUCCUCGAGCGUAUGGGGCUUCGUCACCCGCUCUUGUAGGCCCGGCCGGCGCUUGCCGACACAUAAUCUUUUUUCCAGGUUGACCUCGGAUCAGGUAGGGAUACCCGCUGAACUUAAGCAUAUCAAUAAGCGGAGGA
rnacentral:misc_RNA from 1 species